rnacentral:rRNA from 1 species
UUUCUCCGCCGGCGACCGGCGCACAGGUGAGUAACACGUAUGCAACCUGCCCCUGUCAGGGGGACAACCCGCCGAAAGGCGGGCUAAACCCGCGUACAUGCCACCGGGGCAUCCCGGAGGCAGGAAAGGCUUCGGCCGGACAGGGAUGGGCAUGCGGCGCAUUAGGCAGUAGGCGGGGUAACGGCCCACCUAACCGACGAUGCGUAGGGGUUCUGAGAGGAAGGUCCCCCACACUGGUACUGAGACACGGACCAGACUCCUACGGGAGGCAGCAG